CUCUUCCUUCUCUCUCUUUCUGCUUCGCUUCUCGAGGAGCUGCAAUAAGACAGACUAGCAGCUAUGCAAUUCUUGCGGGGUUUAUCAAGGAUUUCGAGAAGGCGGCCUCCGCUUGUUUCUUUCUCGUCAACUAUACCCGUUCCCUGUCGCCAAUAGUUCCCAGCUUCUUGGAGACUCUACUCAGAAGGUCUUUAAUCGCAGAGAAACUUAUUCCUGGAGUUUAGUUGACUCGCAU
rnacentral:misc_RNA from 1 species